CACGUAGGGUGCGAGCGUUGUCCGGAAUUAUUGGGCGUAAAGCGUGCGCAGGCGGUUCGUUGUGUCGGCGGUGAAAGCCCCGGGCUUAACCUGGGAAUGGCCGUUGAAACUGGCGAACUGGAGUGUGGCAGAGGGGGGUGGAAUUCCGCGUGUAGCAGUGAAAUGCGUAGAGAUGCGGAGGAACACCGAUGGCGAAGGCAGCCCCCUGGGCUAACACUGACGCUCAGGCACGAAAGCGUGGGGAGCAAACAGG
rnacentral:rRNA from 1 species